rnacentral:lncRNA from 1 species
GCAACAGUAGCUCAGUUUUGCAGAAAUGCUUUAUUAGGGAGCUGCUACCAGAGGCCUCUUCACCUUGGGCAUCUGCAAAAAUUGCUGCUCUGGACAGAGCUCAUUUAUGUAAGAAAUGGAUGACUAUACUUACUCAUUCAGUCACAGAAUCCUAAAACCAUGGAAUGGCUUUGGUUGCAAGCAACCUUGAAACCCAUCCAGUUCCAACUUACUGAUAUGGGCAGGGUUGCCACCCACCAGAUCAGGCUGCCCAGGGCCCCAUUCAAGCUGGCCUUGAACACCACCAGUGAUGGAGUAUCCACAGCUUCUCUGGGCUGCCUGUGCCAGUGCCCAGAGUAGAGAGUUUCUUCUAAACAUCUAGCCUAAAUCUCCUCUCUUUUUGUUUAAAACUCUUUCUCCUCAUCUUGUCACUAUCAAACCAUGUAAAAGUCAUUCUCCCACCUGUCAGUAAGUUCUCUUUAAGAACUGGAAGGCUGCAAUCCUUGGAGCCUUCUCUUCUCCACACUGAACAAGUUCAGCUCCUUCAGCCUCUCUUCAUAGCUGAGGUGAUCCAGCCCUCUGAUCAUUUUCAUGGCCUUGUCUGGACCCACUCCAAUAGCUCCAUGCUUUUCUUGUGCUGGGGGCCUCAGGCCUGGAUGCAGUACUCCAGCUGGGGCCUCACAAGGGCAGGGUAGAGGGGGGCAAUCACCUCCUUCCCCUCGUGGCCACCCCUCUUUAGAUGCAGCCAAGGAUAGAGGUGGCCUUCUGGGCUGCCACCUUACCAUGGAAUGGUAGUAAGGCUGUGGAGCGAUGCUGCAAUGACCAGAAUUCUUCUCAGCAAUGUCUUCUGUGGUGAGCAGUGUUUCCUUGAUGUUCCUAACCACUUGGUCUCUGAUGAAUUAGCAGUACCUUAAAAUGAGUUUUGCUUUCAGGUCAGGAUAAGCCUUGCAAUGAAAGAAUGAGACUGUUCUUGCUUCUAAGCAUCUACAGUUUUCAUCCAUGCCUCUAAAAGGCAACACAGUUUAUUGCAGAAUCCUUUCUGACCUUCUAAUGGAGUAUUACCCAGGUCCUGACAGGCAGACUCAGGACAUUUGUAUAUGAUUGUGAUGUGCUUCGGAUGGGUUUGAAUGGUAUGUGUUUGCAUUCUUAAAUUAUAUACUCAAUGAAGCAUUCAAAAACAAAUGUUCAACCCCUAUGAGGUCUGAUAAAAGCCCUAAAGCUGAACAGAAUUUCAAAAUAGAAAUUGAUCCCAGAUGUCUUAAGUAUGUUUUUCCAGGCCUGCAAUUUAAACAAGUUACAGCAGUAUUCACCUUCAUAUAGUUUUUGAUCAUUACAGUAUGAAUUCUCACUGACAGCAGUGGAGAUCACGAGGACCUUUCCUGAUUUUCAACACCAGGUUUUACUUGUUUGGAUUCUAUUCCAGAUUGUCAGAUGUGCUGUGUGUUAAGGAAAACCACACAUUUGAUGAUGGAUAGUACAGCUGCCUGCCACAUGUACAGCAGCAGCAUUAGCACUUUUUAAUUUUCCCCCUCUUUCAGCUCCAGCCCUGGAAUCCAUUACAUAGCUAGCAUCUUACAAGUGCUGUCUUACUUUGACCCUUACCUCAGAAAAUGCUCCUUAAUAGCAGGCUGGCUUACAGCCUUCCUCUAGCCUCUAAAUUUAAAAGAAAGAGAAGUGUCCAACAGGUAGGAAGCCAGUCUGGGAGAUGAAUACUCAGUUUCUUUCCCUGCACAGUCUGUGAUCUGUGGCAAAUAAGGUCAUCCUCGUGCCCUAGAUCCAUAUCUGUAAAAUAAGAUACUAUUUUUUUUCUUUUUCUUUGUUUUGCUUCCAUGAUGGAUAAACAUAAUCAAAUGAUCAGAUACUGCAGUAACCAAAAGUUUGCAAUUAACUGGGAUAAGGUGUGCAAAAUGCCUCUGGAAAAUAAUCAUUUAAUGAUUGAUUUCAAGGGUAUUGAUCAUGGCCCACUUUAAACAGCCUGCCUCUGUCACAGACCAACUGCAUCAUAAUGCACUGAACUCAUUCAGUGCAGAUCUGUGUCCUCAAUAAAAAUGCGUGUGGCCCCAGUCUGAUCCUAGAAUCUGAGUAAAUGCUUUUAGGUAUAUUUUAGGUAGGAAUGUACCUCCAAGGAGCCAACACAACCCUGAAUCAAUGACAUAGUGUAUCUCCAGAUGAAGCACCUACAGGUAUUGAAAAUUUACUGCACUAGGAAAUAAGCUCUCUAGUUCAUGUUUACCUGCCAUGUUAUCUGACAUGAUGUUUCAGUCCUUCUGGCCCAGCUUUUACAGGCAAUACUGAAACUGAGCCUAGUGGUUCCUAUUGACUGUGUAUGUUGUAUCUCUCACUGAGUAGCCAAAUGCGGACUUCUUAAAAACACUGUGAUGUGACACUGAAAAUAAUCACAGAAUGGUUGAAGUUGAAAGGGAUCUUUGGAGGUCAUCUGAUCCAUUCUCCCCAGCUCAAGAAGGGCCAUCCAGUGCCAGAUCCAGAUCCAGACUCCUCAGCCUCUCUGGGCAACCUGUGUCAGUGCUCCAUCAUCAGCACAGCAUAGAAGUCUACUUUUGAUGUUGACACAUCCUCCUGUGUUCCAGUUUGUGCCCAUUGCUUCUUCUCCUGGAGCUUGGCUUCAUCUUCUUUGCAUCCUCCCUUCAGGUAUUUCUAUACAUCGAUGGCCACUGAGCCUCAUCUUCUCCAGGUUGGACAGCCCCAGCUCUCUUGGUCUUUCUUCACAGGAAAGCAGAGCAGUACUCUCAGCCUGCAGGUGGCACAGCCCACUCUGUCUUCUGAAGAGUGCUCAAAAAAUGAAUGAGAAACGUAAAUCUUUAAUUUACAUAUAAGUCUCAACACUUAUUCUAGGAGGAAAAAAAUGAGAUUUUAGGCUGUCUGUUGUAGUAGAUCAUGGUACAGGCUUCACCUGACAAGUCUCAGACAUUUAUGUAUGCAUUACAGCUUCUGGGGUCCUGGCCAAGCUUCCACUUUUAUAUUUCACAUGGCAACUGUAAUUAUAGCUGUGACUCUUAGUUUGUGAACUGUUAUCUUAACCCCUAUAUAAAUCCAUGUCUGUGAAUAUAUAUACAAUAUGCAGUAAAGUCAAGAAUAUUUUCAGUGAGGGAACAGCAUGCAGAGGCCACUGCUGUUUCCUUUUGUGAAGUAUGUUUACAAGUGGCCACACUAAAUCAUGAUGCCCUGAUAUUCCCACAGCUUAGACAGCUGUGUUAGGGCUGAAACAAGCUGGGGUGAAGUGCGACAGCCCACACAUGUGAUUCCACAAGUGCACUGCCCCUUGGCUUGCCACAUCCUUUGAGUAAUUCCAAAUCCUAGGAUCAGAAGCAGAACCAUACCUGGAAAUAAUUAUCUUACAGUCAGAUUAGUGGUGUAUACUGAAAAUAUCAUUAUGAACACAAGAUUUGGUUCUCAAAUUUAGGUGUAUGUUCUGUUUGCCUCAAACACAUCAUAAAGAGCCAGAUAAUAGAUCGCAAGCAGGUUUUGGAGUUUAGCCUCUUGUGACUAUGGUCAGAAAGCUGGAUGGGAUCUCAAUGCUCCGUUCGUGCCUUCUGCUACCUGGGUGUGUGUGAACAGUCCUGUGUGCCAAGCACUGUUCUUACAAACCAGGUCAUGAGACCUCUGUCUCAUCAAAGCAAGUUAAAAGAAAAAGAAAUCUCAACUAUUUUCUAAAAAUAGAAAAGCUGACCUGUGAGAAAAGGGAGAAAAUGCUUAUUUGCUGACAGGCAAAAUAAUGGGGAGGGAAGAGGUCUGUCAUAGUAAUUUACAAUGGCUUGUCAAUCAGGAGCCUGUAGAGACAUGGGUUAACGCACACAUGACAAUGAAAUCCAUGAAGUCUGUGCAAGCUCCAACCCAGAUAUUGCAUGUUCCUGGUAGCACACCAUGUCCAACCUGAGAUAUGCAUAUAUUCUUUGAUAGUAAUCUGAAAGCACAAGUGAAGGUGAAGGGAAAACAGUCGGAGCUGUUGAAAAGAAUUAAAAUGAGUUUACUGUAGACUUAGAGUUUCAGCACUUGUCAAAGGAAGUGGACAUAAAUGGAAACUAAAUUGAAAGUGAGUGAGGUUCCCCUCAGUCAACGCAGUAUGCCACUGCUACUAGUCAGCCACAGCUGGGAGAGACUAUUUAUUUAUCAGUAAACAACUCUGAAGUUGUCCACAUGUUUCAGUGACACAGUAAUCCUGAAAAAAAAGAAAAACAAUGAAGUUGAACUGAAGUCUGAGGUUCAAAAAAAAAAAAAGAAAACCCUUGAAAAAACAAAUGGUAAAUGUGCAGGAGAUCAUUCAAGUGCGUUGGCACACAGAAGGAAUAACACAGUGGACAAAAGAUCAUUUGGCUAUAUUUCAUUAAAGGUACUUUUCUGAAGCUAGGAAUCCUAAUUAAAAGUUUUGAGGGCUUUUUUUUAGAAUCCUUAUAUUUUAUGAAGCCAGAAAUUUUCAUUUACAGCCCCCUAAGGUUUGAUUUCAGACUGUUUCCUUUUUUCACUCGUUUGCAACUGCAUACAAAUGAGGACGGAGGUUUUAUUCCCUUCUUAUCUUUUUGCUAUUCCUUUUAUUCUGCCUAAAAUACUGUUUUUUUCAUCCUCUCCACAGAAUCUCUGUUCUCAUUGUCUGAGACUUGAAUGGCUAUUUUUAAAAUAAUGUUUUUAUUCUUGCAAAUAUGAUUUUACAAUGGAGCAGGGAGCGCUGCUUCUAUGCUGAAACUUUUCAUCUGUCUGUUUUAAGCUACACCAUUAACUUGUCAUAUUUGUCCAAGUAUUCAUUCUACAGAGAAUUUGUUCCCAAAGUUAAACUUGUUACAUUAUGAAGUUCAAAAAUUUUAAGCAGACCAAAGUAAAGUGAGGGGGGAAAAAAUGAAGUAAACAAAUAUUUCAAAGGAUGAAAAAAUAAACUGAAAAAAAAAAAAAACCCUUCAUUUUGCUUGUUAGUAAUUCAGUGCAUUUAUGAUGUCAUAAAUGCUCAGUUUUAUUUUGGGUUACAUUUUCUGGCUGAGAUACAGAGAUUCUCAGAAAACUGACAUUUGAAAUAGAAAGUCAGCAGUAACCUAAUUUGGAAUGCAAUGAACCUAAGUAGAGGGGACAGAACUGAAAGCACUGCCACUCGGGAGUUGCGAAAUGCAAUAGAAAAGCCUGUCAUCUUUGUUUUGUUCUUAAAAUAUGUAACAAAAUAAACGCUGGAAACAUGAAUUGUGUUUUCAUUUUGCUGUGCUUCUGCUAGACGCGUUGUUCACAGACCCUACCAGUGUAUAACAUGACAUGCCAUGGUUUCUGCACUCAGAUCGUUCACUCUUAUGUUACUGCUCAAGUAUGCAUUCAGAAAAGAGCCAACAGAUAUAGUAGAUUUAUUCUAGCUGUUGAGGUCAAGGGCUC